rnacentral:rRNA from 1 species
GACGAACGCUGGCGGCGUGCCUAAUACAUGCAAGUAGAACGCUGAAGAGAGGAGCUUGCUCUUCUUGGAUGAGUUGCGAACGGGUGAGUAACGCGUAGGUAACCUGCCUUGUAGCGGGGGAUAACUAUUGGAAACGAUAGCUAAUACCGCAUAACAAUGGAUGACACAUGUCAUUUAUUUGAAAGGGGCAAUUCCUCCACUACAAGAUGGACCUGCGUUGUAUUAGCUAGUAGGUGAGGUAAUGGCUCACCUAGGCGACGAUACAUAGCCGACCUGAGAGGGUGAUCGGCCACACUGGGACUGAGACACGGCCCAGACUCCUACGGGAGGCAGCAGUAGGGAAUCUUCGGCAAUGGGGGCAACCCUGACCGAGCAACGCCGCGUGAGUGAAGAAGGUUUUCGGAUCGUAAAGCUCUGUUGUAAGUCAAGAACGGGUGUGAGAGUGGAAAGUUCACACUGUGACGGUAGCUUACCAGAAAGGGACGGCUAACUACGUG